CUAACUCGAAAUAUAUUCAGUUUGCCACCAGAGCUUGUCUGGAGCACAACUCGUUUCGGAAAUAAACAAAUUUCAAAAGGCACCCAAAAUUAAAAGUGAAGCAACGGAAAUUUAUUGGUUAACUUGGGUGAUGAUACACACCCAGACGCACACAUAAAAAGAGUCAUACUGCCAUGCAAGUUAAACAGAUGAAAGCCCUAUAUACACAUACAUACAUUUGAACGGACUGAGUGCAGUUGCAGACACAGAUAUUAGCUGCUGCCCCGUCAAAAUGAACACAAUUGGAAACACCCAGACGCACACAUACAAAGAGUCAUACUGCCAUGCAAGUUAAACAGAUGAAAGCCCUAUAUACACAUACAUACAUUUGAACGGACUGAGUGCAGUUGAAGACACAGAUAUUAGCUGCUGCCCCGUCAAAAUGAACACAAUUGGAAACUAAUGAUGAUCGUUCCGCAUACCCUAGGUUUAGUUGACCGCCGCCUGGCCUUCUUUUUGCUAUAAGGGAAUUCAAAGCGAUGGUACCGGUCCCGCUGGACGAGAGGAUUGCAUCGCUUGAAUUAAAACUGUAAAUGCUGAUGAACCACACAUCCCAUUGAAUAUUAACCUUUCGCUUGUCCUUGUCUUUA
rnacentral:sRNA from 1 species